GGAAGAGGAUAGGGCCCGGUGGCCCUGCCGGUCUUCAAAACCGGUCGUAACCGCGAGCCGGGACAGGGGGGUUCGACUCCCUCCCUCUUCC
rnacentral:tRNA from 1 species